rnacentral:lncRNA from 1 species
CUAUAAAUCAGAAUCACAAGAAUUGGCUGACUCUGAUCACACAGUUAGAAUACAAUGAUUUAAUCCUCUAUUUCAGUUCUAUGAACGCUACAAUCUAUUUUCAUAGGUAAAAGGUGAUUAAAAUAUGAAAGAAGAUUGCAGACUAGAGAACAGAGAGAGGGAGAAAACUCUCCACAGGGUACAAGUUCACAGAAACAACUGUAAGUAUUUGAAUAUUUUGAUUUCUAAAGAUAUACUGCAAAUAAGUAACACUUACCUAAUGUAAUUAAUCAAAAGGAAAGGAAUUUUCUUUAAAUACUAUCAAGGUGUAAGAGAUGUAAAUAAAUGUCACUGUCCCAGACAUGCUCCCUCGUUAAACAAAUGC